rnacentral:lncRNA from 1 species
AGUUACCGGACACCCUGUAUAUGCAUAAAUAUAUUAUUUAUUUUCUCGCACAUCAAGCGAAAUAGAGAUUAAUCCUAUCUUUUUCUGCUUUUUCAACAUAACAAUAAUGAUAUUAAAUUCUGUGGACGUGGAUACAGUUAAUUAAUGUCGACGGCCUAAUUCGUAUCAUUCGAGUUCUUCUUUCUAGAGCAGAAAAAAGGGACGAAAGGAUUAUUCCGACUGGCUGAAACUAUUUUGCGAGAAUGCUACGAAAAAUAUCGAGCGGCUUGUUUCCGGGCACGUGCGUGAAACAAGCAAUGCGCAAUGAAUAGAAAGGAGGGGAAAAGUACAUGACGUGAAAAGCCGAACAUACAAUAGUCCAUAUAGACACGCAUUCUUGAAUUAAUUUCAAUAUUUAGAUCGAAAACUGUUGCUUAAUGUUCGACUUCGACGUUUCUUAUUGAACGCUUCGACGUAUAAUCAAAUCUGAGAGUAGAUUUUCAAGAGAAUGUAAUUCCGUUGAAAUUCCGCAGGAUCCAUUUUAUCGGAAGACUUUAACGAGAUUUUUGCUCCGCGCCUUCGUUUCCCCGUAAUUAAUGGGUCACCGUGCACGGAGCGUACAGAAAAUUUUACGCGAGCGUUCUACCGUGUGAAAGAAUCGACUUUUCUCGCGUAUUGUUUAAUUUAAAAUAUUAUUUCGCUGUCUAGUUGCGACCCGAGAUUACGCGGAUAAAACAUUUCAUCUGCAGUAAAUUCGAGUUAACGCGUUCGCGGUCGCGCACCGCGAAGCCGCAAUAAAUCCACGCGUCUAUCUGCAUCCGCGUUGCCAUAUGCUUUGCCAAAGUUUCGAAAUAUCGUUCCGCGUGCUUCGAAAGCGCUUCGAAACUGGCUUAUAAGUUUCUCGAGAAUGGCGCGCAAGGAAGGAAGGAGUGAAAGACGUAAAACGUGAGAUUCCCGAAUGCUUUGUGCGUAAAGACGUAAGUGAAUUCCAUCGUAUACUUUCCAUUAAAUUAUCUAAAUAUUUACUAGAUAUUUAUUACAAUUUUAUGGUAAUUAACGUCGAUGUUUAGAAUCUGUACAGGUAUCUCAUUAAUAAAUUGGUGGAAAGCAUCAUUGGUUUGGCAAAUUUCGGCUGAAGAGCGUAUCUCGCGUGUUUCGCGUGCAUCGCGAAUACAUAAUGUACAUUCCUAUGGCGCACGAUGGAGGAUACAAUUUGUAUCGGCGACUGAUUCUCGGCGGCGUAAUCGCAUCGGCAGCUCGUGCUCAAAUUAGCGGUGAUUUACGCUCCGAUACGAAUGGAUGCUGCAGACGGCGAUUGCGACGGUAUACCCGCAGACUGCCGGAACUAAUUAAAGUGCACGAAAGCGAGAUCGCGUGGAGCACACUUAACAGUCGAGUUCUGGACAUAGAACCUAAGCCCUCCGGUUAGUGCGAUUGCCCCCCCCCCCUUCCGUUAUCCUUGCACGGUUCUUUGCGCGUCUAUUAAUCCCGGAGCUUUACGUCUCCGCGAGAUGCAAGCAUGUGACUGUGAUUCAAAGAAGUGAUGUUAAAAGCUUGGCCAACCCCAAAAGGAGCAAGAAACUUCGGACGACACUCGGAUGUGUGACAAGACCACUCAACAAAGUUCGCGCCGCGCUCAAACGAAAUAUCUCUUAUAGUUUAUCCUCCGUUACCGAGUUACGGCAAUCGAAAGUUCAGUCCCCUCGGGUCGCGCCGGAUUAUAUCCCUUACAGAGAUGUCGACAGAAUACAUUCUACUAUUCUCAGUCGAAAUUCGCGGAGACCGCCGCCGUCAUCAACGAUGAGCGUCAUUCCGCAAGAUGACUGUCGCGGCACAAAUACGCGAUGUCAUCUGUAUUUAUGAAACGCUUUUCUAAUUGUACCUGCAAUGUAAAAAAACCUUGAGCGAAAGAAUAAAUAAAGAGAUGAGAAUUAAAAGAGUGUCAAGUAAUAAAAGAGUAUCAAAUAAAAAUUUGAGCGAAAUUUAAUUAUUAAAAACAUUAAAGGUAUAAAAGUUAUUAUAUGUAUAGUGGAAUCUAAUUUGAACGUAUAGUUCAUAUUUAAAUAGCUAAUAUCUAUAGCUAAUAUCUACAAUAAAUGAACUUUUUCAAAUUUUAUAGAUAUCAAGUGGUAGCCUGCAUUUCAAUAUCUCGCAUGCGUCGUGUUCGCGUUUUCCGCCUCUUGUAAAAGCGCUAUUCGCACAAUUCCGCAAUAGUCAUCGCUGUACCGCGACAGUAAAUCAACGGCGGUUUAUCGACAGCCACCGUCUAAACGAUGCAGAGUACAAGCACGGAAAUGAGAGACGGCCUGGAUGGCCCGGGGGCUUGUUUUCUAGUUACGGGCGCAGCAGACACAGCCGAUGCGGCCGUGACCGGCGGCGCGGUGCGGAAGAGCCGACUGACUGCGGCAUUUCCGCACCGUCGCCCGGCCAAGAUAACGAAAUGCCGAUAUCUAACCGCACGUAAAUAGCCCGAUAUUUAUACUCUCGCGACGCUCGUGCUCUCUCUCUCUCUCUCUCUCUUUUGCGCGCGCGCGCGAGUACGCUGAAGAUUCUGCAAAUUCCGUCGGCGAUGAACUCGCGCCGCGAGCUUCCGGCCGCGAGGAGUUUAUUCCUCGCGUCUUAACGUGAUUUAAGAAGAUUCUAUUUGCGAAGUAUAUACACGAGAGACGGAGUGUAUGCGGGAACUCUAUCCCGGAUUCUCGACGCUUCCUCCUCAAUUAUGGAUUCCAUGACAAACUGUGGCGGCCACGGCGGGUUUUUCCUCCCGUCUGUACGCGGCCGGAACGUGAUGAAAAAAAUACCCCCACCGUAGAAGAUUUAUCGUGUCGAUUCAUGUUGUGCGAACGCGUCGGCGUUAUCAGCGGCGAAACACUUUUCCCCUUUUCGUUGCCGCUCUUCCGGAUUAUGAGAGUAAAAAAAAUCACUGCAAAUACGGAUGUCUCACGUGUGCCGACAGUAUAAAUAACGGUUGGUUUGUUUGAAGCCGUUUUAUGUCAGCAGUUUUAUGUCGCUUGCGGUCACACGGCGUACGCUGCAGCUGCAUUGUCCAUUUCGCGUUGCAGGAGGAUCGUAGACGAUUUGGAUUCAUGAAUGCUUCGCAGCUGUAAUCCCGGCCGCGGUUCCGCUAUCUUUCACCAUUUAGCACCGGCGACUGCACGUGAUUAAACAUCAAUGAUCGAGAUAUCAGCCGGUUCGGAAUCGCCAGGACGUGAUUCGCCAUUUAUUCAUUCGAUCGAUCGCGCGCACACUAAUUGCUUCCGAAGGCGCAUUAAGUGUUAUCAAUUAAGAUUCAGGCCAAAGCGCGAUUGUCGCGGGCAAUUAAUCCCGUGUCGCUUGUGGAUCGCGGCGGGUGAGUCAUCGGCGGCGUCACCAUGACGGCGCGACGUUUCGGUAGCGUCGCGACGGCUCCCACAAAAAGCUUCCACCAUUCAACCGGGGAUAAUGGUCCAUCGGAACGAUCCGGAGUACCGAGAGUAUUUUUUGUUAUUGUUUGUCACCACGAGGGAGGAAAAUAUGUUGAGAUUGCGAGAAGCAGGAGAAACACGUGUUAUCGGUAUCGAAACAGAGUAACGUGAUAGUUCAGAGUUUAUAAUCUCAGUUAUUUUAUACGUUAUUUUAUACUUGUUUAAAUACCGUUUUUCUUGCAUCAUGGAAAACUAGGAAAAUCGCGGCAUUAUUUUCUCAUACAAGUUUAAAUUCGGUCAUAGUGCGGUCGAAGUGACGCGCAACAUUAACUCUGCUUUCGGAGAAGAUGAUGUUUAUGAUAGAACCGUCAGACGUUGGGAAGUUUCAUUCUGGUAACGUGGACCUUGAAAAUUUGGCACAUUGACGAUGAUAUUUGAAGAAUAUUGUUGAAAUAGAACUAAGUCUGACGGAAUAUUGCAGACGUGACAGGGAUACAUUACUCGACCGUAUCCAGACAUCUAAAAGCCUUAGAAAAAGUGAAGAAGCUAGAGAAAUGAGUUCCCAUAGAUCUCAGCGAGAAAAAUAAAGCGCAUCGUUUAGGAAUCAGCUAUUCUUUGCUUCCCGGAAUAAGAACGAAGGCAUAUUGCAAUAGAAUUGUAACCUGCGAUGAAAAAUGGAUACUAUAUGACAACCGUCGACGUUCGAAGUCCAAAUCUUCACACGCGCAAGGUAAUAAUGACUGUAUGGUGAUCAUCAAGGGGUGUAAUUCAUUUUUUAUUUUUGGAGCGAGGUGAAAUCAUUGAUGCCAAGAAAUACUGCCAAGAGAUUAAUAUUAUACUUGAAAAACUGCGCAUUCAGCAACUGGUAUUAAUAAAUAGGCUUUCUACGGCGUCAUCAUGACGUCUUAUUGCUGCACGCAUUACAGAUCACACAUUGCAAAACAGAUAAUAAAAAAUUACCAGAGUUAAAGUGCGAAGUUUUCCUCAUCUCUCUUCCUCUCCAGAUCUUUCAUUACUUUUUCAAACAUUUAGAUAAUUUUUUAGCUGUGAAAUUCUUUUAAAAGAGGACGAUAUGAAAAACGCAUUUAACGAAUUUUUAACUUCUCAUUCUAUUGAUUUUUAUAAAGAAAGGAUUACUACGCUUACAUUAUAUUGGGAGAAGUGUACUGAUGCUGAAGGAAACUUUUUGAUUUUGAUUAAAACAAUAUAUGUAUCAAAUUUAUUAUAUAACCAUUUAAAGUUAAAAAUUGAAACUGGCCAAUUUAUUUGCAACGACCUAAUAUCUUGUCAGUAUUUUAUUAUUAUUUUAGAUGAGUUAUUUGCAAAUCCUUUUCAGAUUAAAAACCUAUAUAGUAGUAGAAUCUUUGUGUACAUUAUAUGGGAAAUUAUUUGAACUCAC